rnacentral:rRNA from 1 species
GGGCUACACACGUACUACAAUGGUGGUGACAGUGGGAUGCGAAAGCGCGAGCUGGAGCGAAUCCCCCAAAAGCCAUCUCAGUUCGGAUUGCACUCUGCAACUCGAGUGCAUGAAGUUGGAAUCGCUAGUAAUCGUGGAUCAGAAUGCCCACGGUCGAAUACGUUCCGGGCCUU